CUUCUAGCUUGCUAGAAGUGGAUUAGUGGCGCACGCCUGAGUAAUGCAUAGGUUAUGUGCCCUUUAGUCUGGGAUAGCCACUGGAAACGGUGAUUAAUACUGGAUACUCCCUACGGGGGAAAGUUUUCCGCUAAAGGAUCAGCCUGUGUCCUAUCAGCUUGUUGGUGAGGUAAUGGCUCACCAAGGCUAUGACGGGUAUCCGGCCUGAGAGGGUGAUCGGACACACUGGAACUGAGACACGGUCCAGACUCCUACGGGAGGCAGCAGUAGGGAAUAUUGCUCAAUGGGGGAAACCCUGAAGCAGCAACGCCGCGUGGAGGAUGAAGGUUUUAGGAUUGUAAACUCCUUUUGUUAGAGAAGAUUAUGACGGUAUCUAACGAAUAAGCACCGGCUAACUCCGUGCCAGCAGCCGCGGUAAUACGGAGGGUGCAAGCGUUACUCGGAAUCACUGGGCGUAAAGAGUGCGUAGGCGGGGUAAUAAGUCAGAUGUGAAAUCCUGUAGCUUAACUACAGAACUGCAUUUGAAACUGUUACUCUGGAGUGUGGGAGAGGUAGGUGGAAUUCUUGGUGUAGGGGUAAAAUCCGUAGAGAUCAAGAGGAAUACUCAUUGCGAAGGCGACCUGCUGGAACAUUACUGACGCUGAUGCACGAAAGCGUGGGGAGCAAACAGGAUUAGAUACCCUGGUAGUCCACGCCCUAAACGAUGGAUGCUAGUUGUUGCCUUGCUUGUCAGGGCAGUAAUGCAGCUAACGCAUUAAGCAUCCCGCCUGGGGAGUACGGUCGCAAGAUUAAAACUCAAAGGAAUAGACGGGGACCCGCACAAGCG
rnacentral:rRNA from 1 species